rnacentral:rRNA from 2 species
ACCUUUUGUAUAAUGGGUCAGCGAGUUACUUUCAGUGGCGAGGUUAACUGAAUAAGGGAGCCGUAGAGAAAUCGAGUCUGAAUAGGGCGAUAGUCGCUGGGAGUAGACCCGAAACCGGGCGAUCUAGCCAUGUGCAGGAUGAAGGUUGGGUAACACCAACUGGAGGUCCGAACCGGGUAAUGUUGAAAAAUUAUCGGAUGACGUGUGGCUAGGAGUGAAAGGCUAAUCAAGCCCGGAGAUAGCUGGUUCUCCCCGAAAGCUAUUUAGGUAGCGCCUCGUGAAUGAUUACUGGGGGUAGAGCACUGUUUCGGCUAGGGGGCUGUCAUGGCUUACCAAACCGAUGCAAACUCCGAAUACCGGCUAAUUGGAUCACGGGAGACACACGGCGGGUGCUAACGUCCGUCGUGGAGAGGGAAACAACCCAGACCGCCAGCUAAGGUCCCCAAGUACUAGUUAAGUGGGAAACGAUGUGGGAAGGCAUAGACAGCCAGGAGGUUGGCUUAGAAGCAGCCACCCUUUAAAGAAAGCGUAAUAGCUCACUGGUCGAGUCGGCCUGCGCGGAAGAUGUAACGGGGCUAAAACUAGUCACCGAAGCUGCGGAUGUGCGCGAAGGCGCACGUGGUAGGGGAGCGUUCUGUAGGCUGAUGAAGGUGCAUUGAGAAGUGUGCUGGAGGUAUCAGAAGUGCGAAUGCUGACAUGAGUAACGAUAAUGUGGGUGAAAAGCCCACACGCCGGAAGUCCCAGGUUUCCUGCACGACGUUAAUCGGAGCAGGGUGAGUCGGCCCCUAAGGCGAGGCUGAAGAGCGUAGUCGAUGGGAACCAGGUUAAUAUUCCUGGACUUUUUAUAAGUGGUGAAGUGGGGACGAAGAAGGCUAGGUGAGCCAGGCGUUGGUUGUCCUGGUACUUGCAUGUAGGGGGGAAGACUUGGCAAAUCCGGUUUUCCAUAACUCUGAGGUGCGAAGUGGUUCUGACCUUUUGGUACAGAGAAGUCAUUGAUGCCCGGCUUCCAGGAAAAGCUGCUAGCCAUAACUUAUAGAGAACCGUACCGCAAACCGACACAGGUGGACAGGUAGAGAAUACUAAGGCGCUUGAGAGAACUCGGGUGAAGGAACUAGGCAAAAUGGUACCGUAACUUCGGGAG